GACGAACGCUGGCGGCGUGCUUAACACAUGCAAGUCGAGCGGUAAGGCCCUUUCGGGGUACGACGAGCGGCGAACGGGUGAGUAACACGUGGGUGACCUGCCCUCAGCUCCGGGAUAAGCCUGGGAAACCGGGUCUAAUACUGGAUAUGACUCCAUGACGCAUGUUGUGGGGUGGAAAGCCUUGUGCGGCUGAGGAUGGGCCCGCGGCCUAUCAGCUUGUUGGUGGGGUGAUGGCCUACCAAGGCGACGACGGGUAGCCGGCCUGAGAGGGCGACCGGCCACACUGGGACUGAGACACGGCCCAGACUCCUACGGGAGGCAGCAGUGGGGAAUCUUGCGCAAUGGGCGAAAGCCUGACGCAGCGACGCCGCGUGAGGGAUGACGGCCU
rnacentral:rRNA from 1 species